AUAAACGUUUGCGGCGUGCCUGAUGCAUGCAAGUCGAACGCCCCGAUUUUUCGCAAGAAGUUUUGGGGAGUGGCGAACGGCUGAGUAACGCGUAAGUAACCUACCCUUAAGUGGGGGAUAACCUGCCGAAAGGCAGGCUAAUACCGCAUGUGCUGGUAAGCGUUAGUUUAUCAGUAAAGUUUUUUCGCUUGAGGAGGGGCUUGCGUCUGAUUAGCUAGUUGGCAGGGUAAUGGCCUACCAAGGCGAUGAUCAGUAGCUGGUCUGAGAGGACAACCAGCCAGACGGGGACUGAGAUACGGCCCUGACUCCUACGGGAGGCAGCAGCAAGGAAUUUUGCGCAAUGGGCGAAAGCCUGACGCAGCGACGCCGCGUGGGGGAUGACAGCCUUCGGGUUGUAAACCCCUUUUAUAGAGGAAGAAAACUGACGGUACUCUAUGAAUAAGUCUUGGCUAACUACGU
rnacentral:rRNA from 1 species